rnacentral:rRNA from 1 species
AGUGAACGCUGGCGGUAGGCCUAACACAUGCAAGUCGAACGGCAGCACAGUAAGAGCUUGCUCUUACGGGUGGCGAGUGGCGGACGGGUGAGGAAUGCAUCGGAAUCUACUUUUUCGUGGGGGAUAACGUAGGGAAACUUACGCUAAUACCGCAUACGACCUACGGGUGAAAGCAGGGGAUCUUCGGACCUUGCGCGAUUGAAUGAGCCGAUGUCGGAUUAGCUAGUUGGCGGGGUAAAGGCCCACCAAGGCGACGAUCCGUAGCUGGUCUGAGAGGAUGAUCAGCCAGACUGGAACUGAGACACGGCCCAGACUCCUACGGGAGGCAGCAGUGGGGAAUAUUGGACAAUGGGCGCAAGCCUGAUCCAGCCAUACCGCGUGGGUGAAGAAGGCCUUCGGGUUGUAAAGCCCUUUUGUUGGGAAAGAAAAGCAGCAGGUUAAUACCCCGCUGUUCUGACGGUACCCAAAGAAUAAGCACCGGCUAACUUCGUG